GUGCGAGACCGAUAGCGAACAAGUACCGUGAGGGAAAGAUGAAAAGAACUUUGAAAAGAGAGUUAAAGAGUACCUGAAACUGCUGAAAGGGAACCGAAUCGUUUCCAGUGUCUAUAAUCCGUGGUAUAUUUCAUUGGCGAGUGUGUGCGUGCGUGUGCUGUGGCAGCGGCUUUUUAGGCUGCGCUCGGCGUGUGUGCUGUGUGUGCUUGCUGGUGCCCUGUACUGCGGUGGGACGUCAAGGUCAGUUCGUAUGCUGCGGGAAAUGGCUGCCGAGGAGGUAGGGCUUACGCUCCGCGUUUGUCUGUUAUAUCUUGGUGGACGAGUCGUCGCGGUUGGGACUGAGGUGCCUACAACGUGCUUUUGAGUGGGUCUGUGUCUCCGUGUGCGCCGUGUGCGGAUAGCUUGCUAUGCGUGUGUGGUUGUGUGUGGAUUGAUGCGGGCCUUAACUUGUUGCUGUUCGGGACUUUGA
rnacentral:rRNA from 2 species